UACGGAGGAUGCGAGUGUUAUCCGGAUUCAUUGGGUUUAAAGGGUGCGUAGGCGGAAUAUUAAGUCAGCGAUGAAAUCCUGCAGCUUAACUGUAGAACUGUCAUUGAUACUGGUAUUCUUGAAUGCAGUUGAGGUAGGCGGAAUGUGUAAUGUAGCGGUGAAAUGCUUAGAUAUUACACAGAACACCGAUUGCGAAGGCAGCUUACUAAACUGUGAUUGACGCUGAGGCACGAAAGCGUGGGGAGCAAAC
rnacentral:rRNA from 1 species